rnacentral:rRNA from 1 species
AGUAAAAGUCGUAACAAGGUUUCCGUAGGUGAACCUGCGGAAGGAUCAUUACCAUUAAACCAUAUCGGGCGUUGUAAAAAUCCCUCCCUCGGGGGGGUCACGCUGUCGACACCCUUUGCCUAUGUGUACCUCUUGUUGUUUCCUCGGUGGGCUCGCCCACCGAUAGGAAUCCCCUAAACCCUUGUAUCUAUAAGCAUCAAAACUCUGAUAACCACAUAAAUAAUCACAACUUUCAACAAUGGAUCUCUUGGUUCUGGCAUCGAUGAAGAACGCAGCGAAAUGCGAAAAGUAGUGUGAAUUGCAGAAUUCCGUGAAUCAUCGAAUCUUUGAACGCACAUUGCGCCCCUCGGUAUUCCGUGGGGCAUGCCUGUUCGAGCGUCAUUUACACCCUCAAGCUCUGCUUGGUGUUGGGCGUCUGUCCCGCUUCAUGCGCGGACUCGCCCCAAAGUUAUUGGCAGCGGUCGUGCCAGCUUCUCGCGCAGCACAUUUGCGCUUCUUGAAGCCCUGGUGGAUCAGCGUCCAGCAAGCUCUAUUUUCGACUUGACCUCGGAUCAGGUAGGGAUACCCGCUGAACUUAAGCAUAUCA